UUCCUUAUUCUCCAUUGAGGAGCCCACAAUAUGAAGUAUAACAACACUUGAUAGUGUGGGGGGAGCAAAAUGGAUGGGAGUAGUCUAAAUUGUGAAAAUGGGAUUGUGGGAAUGUAAUAUGAGUGUUGUGCUGCUAGGCGAAGUAGUGGAGUGCUACACUCUUGAUAGUGAGAGUUCAAUAGCCAAAAACAUCAUUGACUUACACUUCAACCUAAGUAGCAUAGGACAAGUAAGAUUGUGUAUGAAUUAGCAAGCACCAUCUUUCAAAGCUAAAUACUCACGGAUAAUUGAUAGCGAAGUAGUACCGUGAAGGAAUGGUGAAAAUAAUCCCAAUUGAAAAGUGAAAUGGAAUAUGAAA
rnacentral:ncRNA from 1 species